UAGGGAAUCUUCGGCAAUGGGGGAAACCCUGACCGAGCAACGCCGCGUGAGUGAAGAAGGAUUUCGGUUCGUAAAACUCUAUUGUUAGAGAAGAACAGCGCAUAGAGUAACUGUUAUGCGUGUGACGGUAUCUAACCAGAAAGCCACGGCUAACUACGUGCCAGCAGCCGCGGUAAUACGUAGGUGGCAAGCGUUGUCCGGAUUUAUUGGGCGUAAAGCGAGCGCAGGCGGUCAAUUAAGUCUGAUGUGAAAGCCCCCGGCUCAACCGGGGAGGGUCAUUGGAAACUGGUUGACUUGAGUGCAGAAGAGGAGAGUGGAAUUCCAUGUGUAGCGGUGAAAUGCGUAGAUAUAUGGAGGAACACCAGUGGCGAAGGCGACUCUCUGGUCUGUAACUGACGCUGAGGUUCGAAAGCGUGGGUAGCAAACAGG
rnacentral:rRNA from 1 species